AUGAGCGAUCUCCCGCCGGCGGCGGCGAUGGGGGGCGAGCGGGACAUCGAGCUGGGCCUUCCCACCACCAACACCACAUCAGGCUACACGCUUCAGCACAUUCUCGAAGAUAUCCGCCAGUUCUCGACGCUGCUGGGCAGCACGCCCACGAUGCUUCACAAGCUCGAGGUAAGAGAAACGCUCAUGCCCAUCCUUUGCUCCCCGGGCCACAACGUGUUUGUUUUCCAUGAGAAAAUUGGCCUUUUUCCUCGCACUUACUUUGCACAAUUUGCUCUUCUUUCUCCCCACCUCCAGGAAGCCAACAAGGAGUUGAAAUCGGCCGCUGAAUCUGCUGCAGUGAAAGAAAUCAAGGGGCGCAUGGAGAAAGACAUGGAUGAGGCGGUGAAGAUGGCGCGGAUCAUGAAAGAGAAGCUAAUCAGAAUCUUCCAAGGCGUGCUGGUUCCAGUUCUGAACAAUAUGUCAACCGGUCAUGCAUAUCCAGGGCUCACUGUUCCUAUGACCCUGGAUCCGUCAACGCUGUCCAUCAUCACGGCACUGAAGAUAAAGCUUAAGGAAAGAAAGAAAGAUCUUGAGAAUCUGGGAAAAGCUAUGCAGGAAGAGUACAUAGAAGUGGUUCAGAGCAGGAUUUUCACAGUCACCGGAGUAAAGCUCUCUGAUGAGGUGAUUCGCGUGAUCGACACCAGCAGCAUCAUGCAGAUGUUUGAGCACAGAGUCCAUGGAAUAGGUCCAGAGCAGGCCAGCGCCAUAGGGGAGGAAAUCAAGGAGCGGCGUGCUGCGGCCAUGGAUCUCGGCAAGAAGAAUGCUGAGGUGCAAAAGAAUUUCAGGGAGAUGCUGGCGCUUGUCAAAGCGCAGGAGAAAAUAGUCAAGGCACUGAGUCAGAGUGCUGAGGCCCGUGCACGAUCUGCUGCGGAGGAGCUGGCCCGUGCGCGAUCUAGGGUCCAGGAACUGCGCGAGGAGAUGGAGGAGACAAAGCUGCUCAUCGCACUGGUUGUGAUCCUCUUCUUGUUGUGCAUCGUCGCGGUUACCCUCGGAAUCUCCGGCUGA
rnacentral:rRNA from 1 species